CACUCCUACGGGAGGCAGCAGUGGGAAUUUUGGACAAUGGGCGAAAGCCUGAUCCAGCAAUGCCGCGUGAGUGAAGAAGGCCUUCGGGUUGUAAAGCUCUUUUGUCAGGGAAGAAACGGUGAGAGCUAAUAUCUCUUGCUAAUGACGGUACCUGAAGAAUAAGCACCGGCUAACUACGUGCCAGCAGCCGCGGUAAUACGUAGGGUGCAAGCGUUAAUCGGAAUUACUGGGCGUAAAGCGUGCGCAGGCGGUUUUGUAAGUCUGAUGUGAAAUCCCCGGGCUCAACCUGGGAAUUGCAUUGGAGACUGCAAGGCUAGAAUCUGGCAGAGGGGGGUAGAAUUCCACGUGUAGCAGUGAAAUGCGUAGAUAUGUGGAGGAACACCGAUGGCGAAGGCAGCCCCCUGGGUCAAGAUUGACGCUCAUGCACGAAAGCGUGGGGAGCAAACAGGAUUAGAAACCCGGGUAGUCCCAUGA
rnacentral:rRNA from 1 species